AGUCACUGACAUUAGAUACCCCUGUAGUCCUAGCCGUAAACGAUACUCGCUAGGUGUCGGCCACGGUGCGACCGUUGUCGGUGCCGUAGGGAAGCCGUGAAGCGAGCCACCUGGGAAGUACGGCCGCAAGGCUGAAACUUAAAGGAAUUGGCGGGGGAGCACAACAACGGGUGGAGCUUGCGGUUUAAUUGGAUUCAACGCCGGAAAUCUUACCGGGACCGACAGCAACAUGAAGGCCAAGCUGAAGACUUUGCCGGAUUAGCUG
rnacentral:rRNA from 1 species